GGGCGAGUAGCUCAGCUGGUUAGAGCGCGACACUGAUAAUGUCGAGGUCGGAGGUUCAAGUCCCCCCUCGCCCA
rnacentral:tRNA from 1 species